UACAGAGGGUGCAAGCGUUAAUCGGAAUUACUGGGCGUAAAGCGUGCGUAGACGGUCAUGUAAGUCGGGUGUGAAAGCCCCGGGCUCAACCUGGGAAUUGCAUUCGAGACUGCAUGGCUAGGAUGCGGAAGAGGGAAGCGGAAUUCCGGUGUAGCGGUGAAAUGCGUAGAGAGUCGGGAGGAAGGCCGGUGGCGAAGGCGGCGCUCUGGAACGUUACUGACGCUGAGACGACGAAAGC
rnacentral:rRNA from 1 species